GUGCCAGCAGCCGCGGUAAUACGUAGGGGGCAAGCGUUAUCCGGAUUCAUUGGGCGUAAAGCGCGCGUAGGCGGCUUGUUAAGUCAGGUGUGAAAACCGGGGGCUCAACCCGCGGCCUGCACCUGAAACUGGCAGGCUUGAGUCUGGUAGAGGGAAAUGGAAUUCCGAGUGUAGCGGUGAAAUGCGCAGAUAUUCGGAAGAACACCAGUGGCGAAGGCGGUUUCCUGGGCCACGACUGACGCUGAGGCGCGAAAGCUAGGGGAGCGAACAGGAUUAGAAACCCCCGUAGUCC
rnacentral:rRNA from 1 species